GAUGAACGCUAGCGGCAGGCCUAACACAUGCAAGUCGAGGGGUAACUAGAGUGAUAGCAAUAUUACUUCGGCUAGACCGGCGCACGGGUGCGUAACACGUAUGCAACCUACCUUAUACUGGGGAAUAACUUCGAGAAAUCGGCGCUAAUACCCCAUAACAUUGCGAAGAGGCAUCUCUUUGCAAUUAAAGCUCCGGCGGUGUAAGAUGGGCAUGCGUCCAAUUAGCUAGUUGGUGAGGUAACGGCUCACCAAGGCUACGAUUGGUAGGGGUUCUGAGAGGAUGAUCACCCACACUGGUACUGAGACACGGACCAGACUCCUACGGGAGGGAGCAGUGAGGAAGAUUGCGCAAUGGACGAAAGUCUGACGCAGCCAUGCCGCGUGCAGGAUGACGGCCCUAUGGGUUGUAAACUGCUUUUGUACGGGAAUAAACCCUUCUACGUGUAGGAGGCUGAAGGUACCGUAAGAAUAAGCACCGGCUAACUCCGUGCCAGCAGCCGCCGUAAUAC
rnacentral:rRNA from 1 species